GAUGAACGCUGGCGGCGUGCCUAAUACAUGCAAGUCGAGCGAACGGACGAGAAGCUUGCUUCUCUGAUGUUAGCGGCGGACGGGUGAGUAACACGUGGAUAACCUACCUAUAAGACUGGGAUAACUUCGGGAAACCGGAGCUAAUACCGGAUAAUAUUUUGAACCGCAUGGUUCAAAAGUGAAAGACGGUCUUGCUGUCACUUAUAGAUGGAUCCGCGCUGCAUUAGCUAGUUGGUAAGGUAACGGCUUACCAAGGCAACGAUGCAUAGCCGACCUGAGAGGGUGAUCGGCCACACUGGAACUGAGACACGGUCCAGACUCCUACGGGAGGCAGCAGUAGGGAAUCUUCCGCAAUGGGCGAAAGCCUGACGGAGCAACGCCGCGUGAGUGAUGAAGGUCUUCGGAUCGUAAAACUCUGUUAUUAGGGAUGAACAUAUGUGUAAGUAACUGUGCACAUCUUGUCGGUACCUAAUCAGAAAGCCACGGCUAACUACGUG
rnacentral:rRNA from 1 species